UGGGACGGGUGAGUACACGUGGGAACGUGCCUUUAGGUUCGGAAUAACUCAGGGAAACUUGUGCUAAUACCGAAUGUGCCCUUCGGGGGAAAGAUUUAUCGCCUUUAGAGCGGCCCGCGUCUGAUUAGCUAGUUGGUUGAGGUAAUGGCUCACCAAGGCGACGAUCAGUAGCUGGUCUGAGAGGAUGAUCAGCCACAUUGGGACUGAGACACGGCCCAAACUCCUACGGGAGGCAGCAGUGGGGAAUCUUGCGCAAUGGGCGAAAGCCUGACGCAGCCAUGCCGCGUGAAUGAUGAAGGUCUUAGGAUUGUAAAAUUCUUUCACCGGGGACGAUAAUGACGGUACCCGGAGAAGAAGCCCCGGCUAACUUCGUGCCAGCAGCCGCGGUAAUACGAAGGGGGCUAGCGUUGCUCGGAAUUACUGGGCGUAAAGGGAGCGUAGGCGGACAUUUAAGUCAGGGGUGAAAUCCCGGGGCUCAACCUCGGAAUUGCCUUUGAUACUGGGUGUCUUGAGUAUGAGAGAGGUGUGUGGAACUCCGAGUGUAGAGGUGAAAUUCGUAGAUAUUCGGAAGAACACCAGUGGCGAAGGCGACACACUGGCUCAUUACUGACGCUGAGGCUCGAAAGCGUGGGGAGCAAACAGGAUUAGAUACCCUGGUAGUCCACGCCGUAAACGAUGAUUGCUAGUUGUCGGGAUGCAUGCAUUUCGGUGACGCAGCUAACGCAUUAAGCAAUCCGCCUGGGGAGUACGGUCGCAAGAUUAAAACUCAAGGAAUUGACGGGGGCCCGCACAGCGUGAGCAUGUGUUUAUUCGAGCACGCGCAGACCUUACCACCUUUUGACAUGCCCGGACCGCCCAGAGAAGAAUUCUU
rnacentral:rRNA from 1 species